rnacentral:rRNA from 1 species
GACGAAGGAUGCAAGCGUUAUCCGGAUUCAUUGGGUUUAAAGGGCGCGUAGGCGGCUCAUGAAGGCUGUGGUGAAAGUCCGGGGCUCAACCUCGGAUCGGCCGUGGCGACUCGUGGGCUGGAGCACUGUAGAGGCGGGUGGAAUCCGGGUGUAGCGGUGGAAUGCGUAGAGGAUCCGGAAGAACACCAGUGGCGAAGGCGGCCCGCUGGGCAGC